UAACCAAUAUUUUGAAAUCACGGUCCACCAUACAACCAAGACCAAACCCUAAAUUUUCUUCACUCGCCAUCCGCCGCUCAUCUCUUCAAUCUCGCCUGAUUCGCCGCCGGACAUCACUUCAAUCGCCGGUCAAGUAAUUCCGGCUUCACUUUCAAGUUGUUCCGGCAUCGCUUUCAAGUAUUUCCGGCAUCACUUUCAAGUUCCGGCGACGCUUUCAAGUCGUUCCGGCAUCACGAAGUUUCGUGUUCGUAUCUUAUCGUGUUCGUGUCUUAACAGAUCGAGUUGACCCGAUAUACCAGCCCUAGAAUGGAUGAUGGAGAUAAGUUGCAAAAUGUCCUGUUGACCACAUGUUUUCUCAUAAUAUCACUUUGACUUUUAAUUUCUCAAUGAGUUCCUAUAGAGGAAAAGGCAACGAUCACAUUGAUAAAUGUGAUCGCAUAGAAGAUUUAUAAAAUAAAAACAUUUUUA